AAGCAGGAUUUCGGAGGGUGGGGUAACAGGGUGGGCCACUGAUGUGAAUCAUGUAACCAGAACCAACCAACUGGGCAAACAUGCCCAAGAAAGAAUUAAUAUGGUCAGCCUGGCAUAAAUGCACGUCAGGCUUCCUGCCAAUUGUAAUACUCAAGAAAAUAAAGUUCGUUGGAACUCAAUUGCAGAAAUUAAAUGAAAAUGUAUUUUGACGUUAAGAAAAAAAAAUAUGGUGCUUACUUGUUUAGGUCUUGAGACUCCAGAACAAGAUUUCAACAGCAACUCAAUUAGUAAG